rnacentral:rRNA from 1 species
AUUGAACGCUGGCGGCAUGCUUUACACAUGCAAGUCGAACGGCAGCGCGGGGCAACCUGGCGGCGAGUGGCGAACGGGUGAGUAAUAUAUCGGAACGUACCCAAGAGUGGGGGAUAACGUAGCGAAAGUUACGCUAAUACCGCAUACGAUCUCAGGAUGAAAGCAGGGGACCGCAAGGCCUUGUGCUCCUGGAGCGGCCGAUAUCUGAUUAGCUAGUUGGGAGGUAAAGGCUCACCAAGGCGACGAUCAGUAGCUGGUCUGAGAGGACGACCAGCCACACUGGGACUGAGACACGGCCCAGACUCCUACGGGAGGCAGCAGUGGGGAAUUUUGGACAAUGGGCGCAAGCCUGAUCCAGCAAUGCCGCGUGAGUGAAGAAGGCCUGG